AGAGUUUGAUCCUGGCUCAGGAUGAACGCUAGCGGCAAGCCUAAUACAUGCAAGCCGAACGGCAAGACUUAUAGCAAUAUGAGUCCUAGAGUGGCGUAAGGGUGCGUAACACGUAUGCAAUCUGCCCGCAACAGGAGUAUAGCUCCCCGAAAGGGGAAUUAAUCCUCCAUAGUACCAUUGGGAGGCAUCUUUUGGUGGUUAAACUUUAAGGGGUUGCGGAUGAGCAUGCGCAUGAUUAGCUAGUUGGUAGGGUAACGGCCUACCAAGGCGAUGAUCAUUAGGGGAACUGAGAGGUUGAUCCCCCACACCGGCACUGAGAUACGGGCCAGACUCCUACGGGAGGCAGCAGUAGGGAAUAUUGGUCAAUGGGUGAGAGCCUGAACCAGCCAUGCCGCGUGCAGGAAGACGGCCUUCUGGGUUGUAAACUGCUUUUACCUGGGGAUAAAAACACUGUGCGCAGUGGAUUGCAGGUACCAGGGGAAUAAGCCACGGCUAACUACGUGCCAGCAGCCGCGGUAAUACGUAGGUGGCGAGCGUUGUCCGGAUUUAUUGGGUUUAAAGGGUGCGUAGGCGGCUUAUUAAGUCAGUGGUGAAAGACGGCAGCUUAACUGUCGAGGUGCCAUUGAUACUGAUGAGCUAGAGUACUGAUGAGGUAGGCGGAAUGGACGGUGUAGCGGUGAAAUGCAUAGAUAUCGUCCAGAACACCGAUAGCGAAGGCAGCUUACUAAGGAGUAACUGACGCUGAGGCACGAAAGUGUGGGGAUCAAACAGGAUUAGAUACCCUGGUAGUCCACACUGUAAACGUUGAUCACUAGAUGUUGGCGAUAUACAGCCAGCGUUCCAGCAAAAGCGAUAAGUGAUCCACCUGGGGAGUACGCCGGCAACGGUGAAACUCAAAGGAAUUGACGG
rnacentral:rRNA from 1 species